rnacentral:rRNA from 1 species
AUUGAACGCUGGCGGCAUGCCUUACACAUGCAAGUCGAACGGCAGCGCGGACUUCGGUCUGGCGGCGAGUGGCGAACGGGUGAGUAAUACAUCGGAACGUACCCUGUUGUGGGGGAUAACUAGUCGACAGAUUAGCUAAUACCGCAUACGACCUGAGGGUGAAAGUGGGGGAUCGCAAGGCCUCACGCAGCAGGAGCGGCCGAUGUCUGAUUAGCUAGUUGGUGGGGUAAAGGCCCACCAAGGCGACGAUCAGUAGCUGGUCUGAGAGGACGAUCAGCCACACUGGGACUGAGACACGGCCCAGACUCCUACGGGAGGCAGCAGUGGGGAAUUUUGGACAAUGGGGGCAACCCUGAUCCAGCAAUGCCGCGUGUGUGAAGAAGGCCUUCGGGUUGUAAAGCACUUUUGUCCGGAAAGAAAUCGCGCUGGUUAAUACCUGGCGUGGAUGACGGUACCGGAAGAAUAAGCACCGGCUAACUACGUG